rnacentral:rRNA from 1 species
CGUAGGGUGCAAGCGUUAAUCGGAAUUACUGGGCGUAAAGCGUGCGCAGGCGGUUUUGUAAGACAGUGGUGAAAUCCCCGGGCUCAACCUGGGAACUGCCAUUGUGACUGCAAGGCUAGAGUGCGGCAGAGGGGGAUGGAAUUCCGCGUGUAGCAGUGAAAUGCGUAGAUAUGCGGAGGAACACCGAUGGCGAAGGCAAUCCCCUGGGCCUGCACUGACGCUCAUGCACGAAAGCGUGGAGAGCAAACAGGAUU